rnacentral:rRNA from 1 species
GACGAACGCUGGCGGCGUGCUUAACACAUGCAAGUCGAACGGAAAGGCCCUGCUUUUGUGGGGUGCUCGAGUGGCGAACGGGUGAGUAACACGUGAGUAACCUGCCCUUGACUUUGGGAUAACUUCAGGAAACUGGGGCUAAUACCGGAUAGGAGCUCCUGCUGCAUGGUGGGGGUUGGAAAGUGUCGGCGGUUGGGGAUGGACUCGCGGCUUAUCAGCUUGUUUGUGGGGUAGUGGCUUACCAAGGCUUUGACGGGUAGCCGGCCUGAGAGGGUGGCCGGCGACAUGGGGACUGCGAUACGGCCCAGACUCCUACGGGAGGCAGCAGUGGGGAAUAUUGCACAAUGGGCGGAAGCCUGAUGCAGCAACGCCGCGUGCGGGAUGACGGCCUACGGGUUGUAAACCGCUUUCGCCUGUGACGAAGCGUGAGUGACGGUAAUGGGUAAAGAAGCACCGGCUAACUACGUG